GAUGAACGCUGGCGGCGUGCUUAACACAUGCAAGUCGAACGGUGAAGGCGGAGCUUGCUCUGCUGGAUCAGUGGCGAACGGGUGAGUAACACGUUAGCAAUCUGCCCCUGACUCUGGGAUAAGCGCUGGAAACGGCGUCUAAUACUGGAUACGAGCUGCGAAGGCAUCUUCAGCAGCUGGAAAGAAUUUCGGUCAGGGAUGAGCUCGCGGCCUAUCAGCUUGUUGGUGAGGUAAUGGCUCACCAAGGCGUCGACGGGUAGCCGGCCUGAGAGGGUGACCGGCCCCACUGGGACUGAGACACGGCCCAGACUCCAACGGGAGGCAGCAGUGGGGAAUAUUGCACAAUGGGCGAAAGCCUGAUGCAGCAACGCCGCGUGAGGGACGACGGCCUUCGGGUUGUAAACCUCUUUUAGCAGGGAAGAAGCGAAAGUGACGGUACCUGCAGAAAAAGCGCCGGCUAACUACGUG
rnacentral:rRNA from 1 species